ACAGCUCCUAUCUCACCCUUUCUCUUUCAUUCUCAGUAUCAAUUAUUCUAAAAAAACAUUGAUCUCUCCCCUAUCUCUAAGAAACUAAAACAAAAAGCAAAACUUGUUUCCAGAAUUGAAACUCAGAUCCCCCACAUCUCUAGCUCACAGUUUAAAAGAAACUCUCAUCCUUCUUUUUUUCUCUCAGAAAUUCCAAAUUGACCUUUUCCGGCCAAACCAAAUCCAAAUCAGUUAACCAAACAUUUUCACCAAGGGAAAAUCAAGGCUAAAAAUAAACUUUAAAACCACGAGUUUAUGUGGUGCGAGAAAGGGAAUGAAGUGGCUGUUAACGUUUGAGUUAGUGUUGACAAUUGAUUGAUUGAAAAAAAAAUUCAAGAAAAAUUGUUAAGGAAGCAAGCUGAACUCAUGGUGAUUGAAAGUUGUUCUUGUCAUAAUCUUGCAACAUUUUCUCCAACAGAUCUUUUUCUGAUUGGCAUUAAUGGGCUUGCUUCUGUUAUAGAAGCGAGUUUUUGAUUUGCAGUACUGUUGAGAAAGGUGGUGAUAGAGGUUUCCCUUACUCAAAGGGUUUUCAUUUUGUUGGAGUUGGGUAUUGGUUUUGGUUUGUGUCGGGGAUUUAGAUGUUUGGGUAUCAUUUAGCACCUGAAAUUAAUCAUCAGUUCGAGGUUGGGUCGUAUAGGCUUGAUAAUGAUCUAAUGCAUCAGCAAUUUGCUCUAGUUUACGUUUUGCCGACACGGAUGCAGCACCAAUUGCAGACCCUCUCAUGUCAUCAACACUAGAACCAGCACCAAUUACCUGGCUUUGGGAGAAAUGGAAUGAAGUGGCCGUUGCUUCAUGAGGAGAAAAGAAUUCAAGAUGAAAUUCAG